GACUCAAGGCUCACCUCAGGUGAUCAAUCAGAGGUUCAUGCCGUGACUCAGCAGUUCCCAUACACAAAUCUAAAUGUCAAUUGUCAGAACAGGCUUAUCUACUUAUUUCACUAGGAAAAGAUUUUCUAAGUAUUAAAGUUUUCCAUUGCACUUCUAUUAAAAACAGUUCUAUCAAUCGGGUACAAAUGCACUCACUCAUAAACUUCUUAAGGGAUAAAUCCUCUGUUUGAAUAAUUACAAAUGAAAAGAUAAAUCCUGAAAUUCAGUUGUAGUGUAAGAAGUUUUCUCUGUGGGACAAGAUGUUGUAAAUGACAAAAGAAAAACUGAAGGAUUGGCACAGCGAUGUAAUUUCCAUGGAGAAAGUAAACCUAUGCAGCAGUCAUUUCUUACAAUUGAACUCAUCUUGUUUGGAUUUUUAAUUCCCAUUGUAACUCUGUGUUAACUUUCUUUUGACAGAGUGAAUUGUUUUCAAGAAGAAAAAAGAUGAAAUAAACCACUUGAUCCCAAAGUGAAGAGUGGACCCAUCACAGCCACUGCAGUAAACAAUUAGAGAAGCAGAAAAGAAGUGGAAUUGACCUCUGAAGUGCUGUGCCCAAAGAACAGCCUUUAAGGAGAAACAAACCAGGAUGAGCAGCAGCAUCUCCUCAGGACAAAACGCACAUCCAUCCAAAGGAGUAAUGGGUCUGUUGCAAGCCAAGUAUGAAGCUAACAGUAGGGGAAAUGUUGAACAUAAGAUCUGGAAGCUGCUUUAGUCCAGAAAUGUUGACAUAAUGAGAUUGAGGUAAUUUUAAAAUCUUACAAUGUUUCAAAAAAAAAAAUUUUUUUUUUGAAAUAACAAAAAGUGCCUGGCAUUUGUCAUUAGA